GUAAUGACAUCAGUCAAUCAGGAGCCCGGAGACAGAAGCUCCUCCUUCCUUCUCCCCGUCCCCGGGGGCGGGCUACUGGGGUGCAGAGAAGGGGUGGCGGUGCCGCGCGUGCGCAGGGCUGUGUUUCCUUCUAGCACCUUAAGGUGUGAAUCUGUGGUGGCUUCAGAUGAUCUGAAUCCCAGCGUCUCCCACCCCCUCUUCGCAUUCCCAGCUCCACACGUUCCCAUCUCUGUUCCCGUGCCUGCCAUGAGCACUUGUGCUGCCUCUCGCUUCAGCAGCGAGGCAUUGCCAACAAGGCUUAUUUGGGCUGUACAGCUCUCUGUCUUGAUGAAAUACUAUUUAGCAUCAUUUAGCAGCCUGAUUGCUGGAUGCUACUAAGUCAUCAGAUCCUGCCUGGAACACUCAUCUGCUUGUUUUUCCAGGGAACAUGGAUGUCAGGCCGCGUGUGUGAUAGGCAAGGCCACAAAAUGAGCAUCAGGGAUGUGCAUCCCUGAAGUUGAGUUUCACAGAUGGAGGAGUAGUUUGAAGAUGAGGUGAUGGUCUUCC
ensembl:lncRNA